GAACACGAAGCUACAAUCAAGCAGUUAGCCGUUACCUAACCCACAGUGAAAGAAACCUUCACCUGUUCA
rnacentral:tRNA from 1 species